UGCCGCACUACACACUCGGGUUUAAGAUGUGCAAUUUCCUUCAGUUGGAUUAUAUUUUUAGUGGUUUAUCUGUGGAAGCUUAAGUAUUUAAAUAUCCUUGAUUAUAUUUGAUUCGUAUUACAAUGUGAUAAACUGCCGAUAAUUUCGUCAUGUCGAUUUUAACCAUCACUGCUUUACUUCUAUGGACUAUGAUAUCAAAUGUAUCUUCACAAGCAUGCAGACAUAUCUACAUAGCUCACUGUAUACCUGGACAGCAGCGGUGUCGUGACUCCCCCGAUAGUAUCAUGUGUACAGAUUGUGAAGAUCCUUACUAUUCCGGGGGAUAUGAUCAAGGUUGUUUAAAUGAAGUUUUGAAAGGAUUUACAUGAAACAAUAACUUGAUAGACGGUUUAUUUACAAAGUGCAAAGAACAAGGAUGACAACUCUGUAUUCAGGAUUUACAUACUUAUCGUCAUUUAGUGAAUCUUUUUGUGAUAAAUAUAACUGCCAUAGUAGUGUAAACAUUUAAAUAUAACUUCGAAUACGUGUAAAAGUAGUUGAAAAUAAAUGCACGGUUAAAGCAACACAUUUUAUCAGUUGUGUGGGAAUUAUGACUCUUUGCUGAAUGGUGGUAUUGUCUUUGUGUAAAGAAUGUAAAGGAUUUACAUGAAGCUUAUAAUUUUGAUGUGCAGUGCAUCAAGUUUGUGUUUAGAGCAUACGUA